rnacentral:rRNA from 1 species
GAGUUUGAUCAUGGCUCAGAACGAACGCUGGCGGCAGGCCUAACACAUGCAAGUCGAGCGCUGUAGCAAUACAGAGCGGCGCACGGGUGAGUAACACGUGGGAACGUGCCCUUUGGUUCGGAAUAACUCAGGGAAACUUGAGCUAAUACCGGAUGAGCCCUAACGGGGAAAGAUUUAUCGCCGAAGGAGCGGCCCGCGUCGGAUUAGCUAGUUGGUGGGGUAAUGGCCUACCAAGGCUACGAUCCGUAGCUGGUUUGAGAGAACGACCAGCCACACUGGGACUGAGACACGGACCAGACUCCUACGGGAGGCAGCAGUAAGGAAUAUUGGACAAUGGCCGCAAGGCUGAUCCAGCCAUGCCGCGUGCAGGAUGAAGGUGCUCUGCAUUGUAAACUGCUUUUGUUCGGGAAUAAACCCUUCACGUGUGGAGGGCUGAAUGUACCGAAAGAAUAAGGGUCGGCUAACUUCGUGCCAGCAGCCGCAGUAAU